GAUCCGGCUCAGGAUGAACGCUAGCGGCAGGCUUAACACAUGCAAGUCGAGGGGCAGCGGGGUGUAGCAAUACACUGCCGGCGACCGGCGCACGGGUGCGUAACGCGUAUGCAACCUACCCAUAACAGGGGCAUAACACUGAGAAAUUGGUACUAAUUCCCCAUAACAUUCGAAGAGGCAUCUCUUUGGGUUGAAAACUCCGGUGGUUAUGGAUGGGCAUGCGUUGUAUUAGCUAGUUGGUGAGG
rnacentral:rRNA from 1 species